GAUUUAUAUUUAAUGGCUGCAGUAUUUUAACUGUACGAAGGUAGCAUAAUCAUUUGUUUAAUAAUUUUAGACUAGAAUGAAAGGUUUAAUAAGAAUUAAACUUUCUUAUUUAUAAGUAGGAGAAUUUAUUUUUUUAGUAAAAAAACUUAAGUUUUUUUAUAGGACGAGAAGACCCUAUAGAACUUAAUAUAUAUUAUAUAAUAUAUAUAUAUUAUAUAUUUAAUUGGGGAGAUUUAAAUUUUUUCUUAACAAUUUUUAUUUUUUAUCAUUGAUUUUUGAUUUUUUUGAUCCAAUAUUUUUUGAUUAUAAGAUCAAGUUACCUUAGGGAUAACAGCGUAAUUUAUUUGGAGAG
rnacentral:rRNA from 1 species